AGUGGAAUAGCUGGGUCAUAUGGUAACUUUAAAUUUUGAGUAACUGCCAAAAUGUUUCCCAAUGUGGCUGUACCAUUUUAUAUUCCCACUGGCAAU
rnacentral:pre_miRNA from 15 species